GCUGUCUGUAAUGAGUACUGCUGAGAAACGAGUUGGGUGGGUUUCACUUUGUUGUCCAGGCAGGGACUGACAGAGCUUCCAACCAACCAUUGUGGGAGAGCCAGUAUCAAAGGGAAUGGGCAGUUACACUAUCAGACCCUUCUUGAUUAACUCAUCUGAGGAAUGGAAGGACAACAACGGGGAUAAGAAAAGAUGCUAAGGUCCUGAGCCGUGAUCCUGUGAAAUCCCCGUCCAUGUUCCAAGAUGAACCUAUGGAGACCAUCUUUUCUGGUGUUCUUUGCAGUGACCUCUGAGGGACUGCUCAUAGAGCCCCAGGAGGGCAGUGUUGCUGGAGGAACGUGGAUUACUAUCACUCUGGAUGACUCAGCAUCCCAUGAGCUAGAACAUCUCUCUCCAGCCAGCUGGCCCCACCUGGAGGUAUCCCUGGUGAAUGCAGACCUGCCCAUGUUGCCGUGUGAUGUCUCUCCUGUGUAUUUUGACUUAUCCACCAUAAGAUGUAGAA